GGAAAAACCACUUUAGUCCAUUAAUCUACACAGAAAAACAUCACUUUUAAGCGAACUGCUUUAUUUGGUCCCAGAAAAGCAGAGUUUUCACCCUUGUUCUCCUGAUUUGUAGCUCAAAUACCUUCAUGGCAAUGUUAAACUACAGGAGCAGCCAGUUAAAGAUAACUUCAGGAGAAUUGAAGAAAACCAACCGUUUAAAGAGUUAAAACUCAUUUAAACCUUCAGUAAAGUUCAAGUCAGACAAACUCAGAUUCAUGGUUUACUUUGGUCACAAUUCCAGUUUACUAGAUCAGCUGAGAACAGAACUCCAACCAAGGAAGGAGAGGUCUAGGGUUUAAUGGUCAGAACAAAUUCAGUAGAACUACUCAUCUACACAAGACGCUUUAGAGUCACUUUACUGUCAGGUUCUUCACUAUAGCUGCAUUUGGUCCCAGACACGGUGUCAUUUGUUCCAGGUCAUCCUCCAUUUUCUUACCUCUGAGCUGAUAAGAUGCAGGAGAAACACCUGAGAGACUUUAAACUACAGCAGCCAGAAUUAUUGGAACGGCUGCUUGAUAGUUUAAGAAAACCAGCUGUUUAAAGUCAAACUAAACCAGUUUAAAUCAAUGGCGUUAAAGUCAAGCACAGAUACUCAGAUUCAUGUUUACUUAAGGUUUAUUAAAGGUUACGUCGUAGUUUCUUGGAGGUUCUGCUGAUCAGUUCCACCUGCAGAAACAAAGAAACACAGCAGUUAGUCCCUGAACCAGCAGCUUCUUCUACACUCCAUGUUCCAGCUGCUUCUUACCUCCUUAGACCUUGGUUCCGGUUCCAGGUCCAGGUCCUUGGCUGGGAUCUCCUGGGUUCACCGGAGAGAAAAACGGGCCAAAGUCAUCUGGGGAGUAUUUAGAGUGGGAGAGGAGUUCUCUGGCUCGCUGGUAGCCGUUACUAGACUGGACGAUGUAGGACGUAGGACCACGAACAACCAAUGGGAAGGGGUCGGUGGGAAUGUUAUCAGGGAUCCAGACUGAGGGGUCUGGGAGACGGACAAACCUUGGUCUCAAGUCAUUUAUAUCGUAGGAGAACCCCUGUGGGUAGUUAAUCAAAGGAGUAAAUCCUGCAGAUCCAAAGGGCAAAGAACUGCUGAAGAAACCAGAGCCUCCUGAACCACCAGAUCCUCCAGAACCACCAGAUCCCCCAGAACCACCAGCACCAGCUCCUCCACCAGCUCCUCCAGUUCCUCCACCAGCUCCUCCAGAACCUGUUUGACCUGAAUCCAGACACAAACCAACAUGUUCACGGCUCUGAUCCACUCAUGUGGACACCAGCAGCUAAAUAAAUCCACAUCCAGCUGCUGGAGCUGCCUUCAGACACGUUGGGCUUCAUUUAAAGCUGCUUCAGGUCAACAUGUCUGCAGACUCACCUUUAAUUAGAAAAGGGUAACAAGCUCCAGAGCUGAGGAGCAGGAAGCAGAUCCAGAAGACCCUGUGGAGAGCAGAAAGCAGCCUGUAAAUAGCAGCACAUGGAAGCCCACCUGCAGCAUGAAGCGCAGCAGCUCACCUGAGAACAGAUUCCAGCAGCAUGUCCAGCUGUGAGAAGAAGCCGAGGCCACAGAGUUCAGCUCCAGCAGCCUCCUCACUGCUGAUCAACCUGCUGGAGCUGAACUCUGUGGCCUCGGCUUCUUCUCACAGCUGGACAUGCUGCUGGAAUCUGUUCUCAGGGUCUCCUGGAUCUGCUUCCUGCUCCUCAGCUCUGGAGCUUGUUACCCUUUUCUAAGUAAAGGUCAAACAGGUUCUGGAGGAGCUGGUGGAGGAACUGGAGGAGGAGCUGGCUCUGGUGGUUCUGGGGGAUUUGGUGGUUCUGGAGGCUCUGGGGGAUCUGGUGGUUCUGGAGGAGCUGGUGGAGGAACUGGAGGAGGAGCUGGCUCUGGUGGCUCUGGGGGAUCUGGUGGUUCAGGAGGCUCUGGUUUCUUCAGCAGUUCUUUGCCCUUUGGAUCUGCAGGAUUUACUCCUUUGAUCAACUACCCACAGGGGUUCUCCUACGAUAUAAAUGACUUGAGACCAAGGUUUGUCCGUCUCCCAGACCCCUCAGUCUGGAUCCCUGAUAACAUUCCCACCGACCCCUUCCCAUUGGUUGUUCGUGGUCCUACGUCCUACAUCGUCCAGUCCAGUAACGGCUACCAGCGAGCCAGAGAACUCCUCUCCCACUCUAAAUACUCCCCAGAUGACUUUGGCCCGUUUUACUCUCCGGUGAACCCAGGAGAUCCCAGCCAAGGACCUGGAACAGGAACUGGAACCAAGGUCUAAGGAGGUGGAACUGAUCAGCAGAACCUCCAAGAAACUACGAAGUAACCUCUAAUAAACCUAAAGUAAACCAUGAAUUUGAGUUUGUGUCCUUAAACUCCAUUGAUGAUUUAAACUGGUUUAGUCUGACUUUAAACAGCUGGUUUUCUUUAAAGGAUCUUGAAGCAAUGUUUCAAUAAAUCUGGCUGCUGUAGUUUAAAACUUGCUGGAGCAUCUCAGGUGUUUCUCCUGCAUCUUGGCUCAGAGGGAUAAUUGAGGCUGAUCUGGAACUUGUUUAGGACCAAAUGUAGCAUAAUUAAAGCAACUGAGGGUAAAGUGACUAAAGCAUGUUGUGUAGACCGGUGUUCCCACUGAUGCUGACCAUUAAAUACUAGAAUCCACCUCCCUUGAUUAGGGUACUAUCAGCUAAAUUUAAUAAAUCUGAAUUUUGUCCCUCGCCUAAAGUUUAGUUUGGCUUCAAGAGAACAAUCGCUUGAUCUUGGAAAAUGGUUUGUCCCCACCUCCCCCACCUGACACCAGGUAGUGGCAGAUUCUCUUCCACCAAGUGUGCUGCAAAUGGCUAUUGGAUGAAUUGUCACAUGACCAGGUGGGAGUAAU
ensembl:lncRNA